rnacentral:rRNA from 1 species
UUGUUGGUAAGGUAAAGGCUUACCAAGGCUUCGAUCAGUAGCUGGUCUGAGAGGACGGCCAGCCACACUGGGACUGAGACACGGCCCAGACUCCUACGGGAGGCAGCAGUGGGGAAUUUUGGACAAUGGGGGAAACCCUGAUCCAGCCAUGCCGCGUGAGUGAAGAAGGCCUUCGGGUUGUAAAGCUCUUUCAGCCGGAACGAAACGGUUACGGAUAAUACCCGUGACUACUGACGGUACCGGAAGAAGAAGCACCGGCUAACUACGUGCCAGCAGCCGCGGUAAUACGUAGGGUGCGAGCGUUAAUCGGAAUUACUGGGCGUAAAGCGUGCGCAGGUGGUUUUGUAAGUCAGAUGUGAAAGCCCCGGGCUCAACCUGGGAACUGCGUUUGAAACUACAAGACUAGAGUGUGGCAGAGGGGGGUGGAAUUCCGCGUGUAGCAGUGAAAUGCGUAGAGAUGUGGAGGAACACCGAUGGCGAAGGCAGCCCCCUGGGUUAACACUGACACUCAGGCACGAAAGCAUGGGGAGCAAACAGGAUUAGAUACCCUGGUAGUCCGUGCCCUAAACGAUGUCAACUAGUUGUCGGGCCUUUACGGGCUUGGUAACGUAGCUAACGCGUGAAGUUGACCGCCUGGGGAGUACGAUCGCAAGAUUAAAACUCAAAUGAAUUGACGGGGACCCGCACAAGCGGUGGAUUAUGUGGAUUAAUUCGAUGCAACGCGAAAAACCUUACCUACCCUUGACAUGUAUCGAAGCCCGCAGAAAAGCGGGGGUGCCCGAAAGGGAACGAUAACACAGGUGCUGCAUGGCUGUCGUCAGCUCGUGUCGUGAGAUGUUGGGUUAAGUCCCGCAACGAGCGCAACCCUUGUCAUUAAUUGCCAUCAUUUAGUUGGGCACUUUAAUGAGACUGCCGG